GAGGAAUAUUGGGCAAUGCCCGCAAGGGUGACCCAGCAACGCCGCGUGGAGGAUGAAUGUCGUAAGAUUGUAAACUCCUGUUAGAGGGGAAGAAUAGUACCGGUUGGACCGGUAUAUGACUGUACCCUCAGAGAAAGCCCCGGCUAACUACGUGCCAGCAGCCGCGGUAAUACGUAGGGGGCAAGCGUUGUCCGGAUUUACUGGGUGUAAAGGGUGCUCAGGCGGAUUUGUAAGUCAGAGGUGAAAUCUUACAGCUUAACUGUGAAACUGCCUUUGAUACUGCAAGCCUAGAGUAUGGAAGAGAGGGAUGGAAUAUCUGGUGUAGCAGUGAAAUGCGUAGAUAUCAGAUAGAACACCAAUGGCGAAGGCAGUCACUUGGUCCAUUACUGACGCUAAAGCACGAAAGCGUGGGUAGCAAACA
rnacentral:rRNA from 1 species